rnacentral:rRNA from 1 species
UACGAAGGGGGCUAGCGUUGUUCGGAUUUACUGGGCGUAAAGCGCACGUAGGCGGAUUGUUAAGUCAGGGGUGAAAUCCCGGAGCUCAACUCCGGAACUGCCUUUGAUACUGGCAAUCUAGAGUCCGGAAGAGGUGAGUGGAACUCCUAGUGUAGAGGUGGAAUUCGUAGAUAUUAGGAAGAACACCCAGUGGCGAAGGCGG